AACCUCUCCUGUUCUCCCCCAUCUGCCCUCCCUUCCCCUUCUUCACCCUCUAGAGUCGCCCCCUUCUCCUUGCCCUCCCCCUUUUCUCUCCCUCUCCAUCCUGUCUACUCAACCCAUCUUAUGCCCCUGAAUCUAUGAAGGUGGGAACUUCUUGUGUAGCGUUACCUAGGCAUCUGUCCCAGCAUAUUGCCUCCUCCUGCCCCCCCCCAACACAGAGGUUUCCUCCUCUGGCCUUUCUGAGAGCCAGCUGCCUGCAGGUGACCCCUCUCCACUGCUCUCUCCUUCUUAGCAUCCCCUGUAAAGAUGUGUUCUUGAGAAAUUUCUCUAGAGAGAGGCAAAAGUGUGGUUUGAGCCCUUCCUUAAGUGACUCGGCCAGACCCCAUCAAGGCAAUGUCUGCAGUCCCUAGCCAGUCUCCCUUCCUGCCUGGUACCUGCUCCCUUCCAGAACCUCUGGGGUAGCCCUCCAAGUCUUGGUCUCUUUUAAACCCUUUUUUCCUUGUCCCCAGGGUGGAGGUUGGGUGUUGACAAGGCUAAAGAAUUUAACUAAACUCAGAGAGGAAGGCUAAGCAGGUCACCUGAGCCUUCUCCCCUAUUGUACCAGGGGACUGCUUUAUGGGAAAGAAGCCCCAGAGUGCAGGAAAGCAGAGAACGGAUUUUCUGAUGUGGUCCUGCCUGGCUGCAGGCAGGGGCCUCUGGUUUUAUCUUCCCAACUAUAUGUUCAAAUUCUGAGGUGUCCUCCUGAAAUAAUAUUAAACAUUAUUGGAUAAAAUAAUAUUUCCGUAGGUGUCUUUUGGAGAAUCCUUGUUUUCUUAAAAAAGACCCUGAAUGACCUCCUGUGGUCUUUAUACAGUCUUCUUAUCAGAGAGAUCAGUUCUUCCCGUUGCUGCCUCUGACCCCUUCACUGCAGGGGGUUUCACACUAAUCAAAAGAUGCUUGUUCUGCCAAUUUCACUAGAGGUGGAACCCCUGGGAUUCCAAACAAAUAGCAUCCCAACUCCAGCAGAGAAGGUCACUUAAUUCUUAUCUUUUCUAGGGCCUAGGUUUUACCUAUUUCUUGAAUUAGGGAUAGGAUGGCUAUAACAGCUCUAGAAAGACAGCUUUAACUGAGCAAGGCUUGAUGCUUUAAUGUCAAAGCAUCUUCCUCAUCAUAUAGUGGAAUGUUGGGUCCACUGCAAGGUGCAUGUGAUUGAAUACAAGCCAUUGGAUCUCAGUUUAUUUAGCAAGCACGAUUUGUAUACAAGUAUAGAAAAAUAUUCUACAGAAAUGCCUUGUUGUUCAUUUCAGUGUACAUAAUCAGAAUUCUUUGGACCUGUUAUUGUCUUUCAUUCUUCAAAGGAAAUAUGUCUUUGAAGUCAGAGGCAGAGAAUUGUAAUUUUUCCCUAUAGAAUCACAGAGUCGAAUCCUAACAUUUUAGACUUGGGGCAUCUUAAACUGCAGCCUUCAUUCUGGAACAGGGAAAAAAGAUUUAAACAAGAAAUGAAACAGUUGUUUUUAAAAAGAGAAAUAUCUUAGUAGAUUAAAUGUUUUUUUUCUAUUUCUACAUUGAUGCUAUGAAUGAAAACUGUCUUAUUGGCAACCUUAAGCUUCUCUUAAAAUAGACGAGUCUUGGUGUGUACAUUCACUUUCUUUGUAAUCAAAAUUGAGAGCCAAGCAUUCAGUUUGCAAAUCAGAGGCUUCAGUAUUGAAAACAAUUAUCAACAUUUUUAUGUAUUUGAUAAAAUCUUAACUGGACUCAGCUUCUCCCACCUAGCAUGUUGUAUUACAUUUAAAUAUUGACAUUUGGAAUGAUGUUUAAAGCUCAGCAUUUUUAAAAAUAUCAGUGCAAUUUCUUUGCAUUUUCCAUGCUGGUUUCAACCAACAUACAGUUCUCCAAAAGAGAGUAAGGUGUGGUAUUCAUGAAAUUGCCAAAAUGCAAAGAAAGGAUUGAAGAACUUGGACCAUCAUUUAUGUUUUAGGGUUUCAUGCACAGAAGGACAUGGUAGUGUCUCAGGUAACCUCAGUGUCAGGUGCCUUUGAGUCCCUGUGCAAUUUCACUACUUGUAGGUUGUUCACUGUGCAUAAAGCAAUUGCCAGAUUAUUUCCAUAGUUAAAGGUAAUGUGCUUUGGGAAAGCAAUCAAAAUACCUGCUCAGGUGUUGAAAGCGCUGGGAUGCUAUCAAACCAAUAAUUACUUUAAAAGAAAGAGUUGUAAUAUGGAAGUUAUGUUCCUCUGUUAGUUGGGAUUUCUUUUUUAGGACCCAUUCUCUUAAGCUGCAAAGUUAGAAAAGGCAUGUUUUCCUCUUUCCUAUAGGAAAACACUUACCUUAUCUCAACUCUGAAUUAAAUACACCCUGCUUUUAUAUCUUUAGAGAAACCUCAAAACAAUUUUAAGAUUUCAUGUGUAAUACUGCAAAAAUAUCUGCUUGGCAGCUUUGUAUACAAAAGUUUAGAUUUAUCACGUAAUAUGAGAAAUUCAGUCAUUUCAUGAAGAUUUUUACCUGACUGAAUCUUGGCCCCACAUGAUCAACAUCUCUUUCCUGUUGUGGUAUGAAUUUUGGCUGUUUUAAAUUAAAGGAUUGUAUAGAUUUCUUAUGAUAAUUUCUCUGUAGAAGUAGUGACGCGAUCCUCUCAUCUGUGACUAAACCUUCUUUCCUAAACAGAGGCGUUUUAUUCUGUUUAGUUGAAAUGAAUAAUCCUUGGGCCUGUAAAAUGAGCUGGGAAAAUGUUACAAGUAUCCUGUUGGACCAUCAUUUGUAUCUUUUAUCAUUUACUGAGACAAAAGAUUAUAAUUCAUAGUUUUCAUGUGGGAUUUUUGACAUUGAAAAGUGUAAGAUUUAUGUCUUAAAGCUAAAGGAAACUCAGCAGACAGUGGACCCUACAGAAGUUCCAAUCCCAGAGUACCGAGAGCAAACUGUAAACCUGGACAAGCGAGCACAGCCUGGUGGGUCCUGGCUUCUUCUCCGGGGGUGGGACACAGGAUGGCAGCAUGAGUGGCCAGCCACCCUGCCCUUGCAGCUGUGUGAGCAGCAGGGACCAAAAAAAACCACUUGAUUGUGCACUGACUCACUGUUGUGCUUUCUCACCUGCACACCUCCUGAGUGUCCCCCUUUUAAUUAAUUAGACAUUGCUAGCGGCAAGGAACCAGAUGGCAGCUGAGUGACAGUUCCUCACUCCUCCCUGUCCCUCAGAACUAACCCUACCAGCCAGGACACAGUGCUGAUUACAAUGGUGUCAGCCCGCAGAUAGCAUUUCCCACCGGCUUGUGCCAAGCUCGGGGCCAGCUGAGCGUGCAGCGUGCUCAGCCUCCCUGGGUGCCCUUCUGUGGAUGGUCAUUGUACAGAAAGGAAAUUGCAGCGCCACAGAGUCAGGCUGACUUCCUACGGCUUGAAGCCCUCCAGCAGGAGCAAAAGCUACCCAGAGGGCACAGUCAAGCCCAGGCCUCCCAGGCACCUUGCUGUUUCCAGGCAGUCCUUUGUUCACUGUGACCUGAAUGACAAUCACUGUAUCCACAGAGAAGAGACACAGGCCAGCCAUCAGCAGAAGAUUCACAGAAUGGCGGGAGUAAAACAUCCCCGCGUCUUAGUUUGAAUUAAAAAUUAGUAAGGAUUGCAGGGCAGUCAUGUUGACUUAACAGCACUGGUUCCUGGAGUUUUAUUAACAAAGAAGAGUGACGGAUAUCACCAUCUGUCUGUGUGUGAUGGUGAGCAAAGGGCCGGCAGCUCAGCCUUGUUCAGGGAUGUUGUACGCACCAAGGUCGGCUUUAGCACUUUCAGUCUACACUGCAGUGUCACAGAGAACCGUGCACGUGAGCACGCACACACAAGACACAAGGAAAGCCCCUUUCCAGAAGGCCCUCCACGUUCAAGACCUGGAAGCAGCACUUGACCCGGGACUAUAAAAUUACCACAUCUUCUGGUCAAGAGCAGAAGACAAUCAGCCCUCUGAGCUCCUGAAAUCUGUGGGCUUCUAACCUGCUACAACUGACACAGAAGUUCUAAAAGCACUGUGUUAGUUUGCUGGAGCUGCUGUACUAAAGGACUAGAGACUGGCUCUCACAGCUCUGGAGGCUGGAAAUCCAAGAUCCAGGUGUGAGCGGGGCUGGCUUCCCUGCAUGCUCACCUGAUUGUCUUUGUCCUCAUCUCCUCUUCUUAGUAGGACACCAGUACUGUGAGGUUAGGACCACCCUCAUGACCUUGAUUUAAGUUGAUUUAAAGACCCCAUCUUCAAGUAAAGUCCCACUCUGGCUCCUGAGGACUGAGCACCGAGCAUAUGAAUUGGGAGGAAGGAAUCAACAGCACCAGCAGAGCAUUAGCCAAGACCACAUCCUGUUCCUCUAGAGCUGUUGCUGGUUUGAAAACCAAGUCCUCGGUGAAGCCUCAUUCAGGUGGGGAGGCACAGGAGGCUCAGCUCACCUGCAGGUGGGAGCAGAGAAACUCAGGUGUUUAGAGGGAACUGGGGACAGCUAGAGUGCAAACAGUGCCACAGGGACAGAGGGGACAUCGCCAUCUGAUCCACCCAAGGAGACUCGGGUAUGUGUUCUUGUGAGUCACUGUCAUUUUGUCCUGUGCAGCAUGAGGGGACAGAUAAUUACCACCGACCAUGGCUGUGCAGUCUGAGGUAUUGAUAUGCCUGACUAUUCGGAGAAAAAAAUAGCUACUUGUUCUUCUAUCAAGUAGGGCACAAGGAGGACACAGACAGGACUCUGCAUCCUAAAAAUAGCCCCACGCCAACUUGGAGAGCUCCCCCAGAGAGCGCCCGCCCCUGGCUCUUAGGACAGUUAAUAAUAGGAUCCGCCUCCUUUACCCUGAGUGGUGACAUUUGAGAAUCGGAACCUGCAAGAAGAGGGUGCAGAUGUGUAUUUGUUUGCUUUUCUGGUUUAAGUGCUGGGAAAGGGUGGUUUUUCUUUUGAAGGGACAGCAUAGGUUUGUUGUUUCUGUCUAUGGGCAGGUGCCCUCUUGGGACAGUAAGUUGAAGCUCGAGUGGGACAAUAAGUUGAUGGCCUGGAUCCAGGUGCAGAAGUAAAGCAGACUCCCUAGCGCCGUGUUGGCGACAGACAAGGAACCAGUUUAAGUGGGUUUUGUGUUAAAAAUAAUGAUCGUUAAAUGUAAACUGACUAGCCCCUCGCAGUGGGUUCUUCAAGCCACAUUCCAGAUGUCCAUGAAGCAUUGAUGUUGCGGCUCUAAGAUAGAGGGGUAAGUGAUGACAUGGGUUGAUCCUGUCCUUUCUGCCAGUGAUUCUCAGGGCACUCAUUGCCCCCGGGCAGCUCUGACUCAGCCUGUCAAAGCCCAGCACUGUAGAGAAGACUAUCCUAAAGCUGAACCGUCCAAAGCCAGUACUAACACAUUGAGCAGAGGGUAAGCCCUGAGCAAGCAAAUGUGCUCCCUGAGUCCUCCAGCAGACCCAGCUGUGGACGGCGGGUGUGCAGACUGAGGAAGGGCCGUUGGUUAGCAGAGCACAUGCGCCGAGGCCUGCUGUGGACCAGGACUGCCUGGGCAGGAAGGGGAGAGUGCCUGGAGGCAGCUGGCACCGAGAGCCUGCUCUCUGAGGAGUAAUGUAGCCCCCUUCAUCUUUGUCUUCACAGUCACAUCUUGGUUCCUAUUUGGAGAAGCUCCCAUUUGUUGAAUAUCCACAUGGACCUGACAGUUGGCAGUGGCCUGGAUGUGCACAGGGGAUUUGGGCCAGGUGGGGCCCUGAGGUCAUAAGUUUCUUCAAUUCUCAGAGAGAACCCUGUACUUGAGGGUGGUCGGGUUGACGUUGACAUUGUUGGCCUGUUCUGAGCAUUGUUUCAUUGGCAGUAAGUGGAGAGAUCAGGCAUUUCCCAACCCCACCAAGAAGUUGUCCUACUGCCAGAAGUCCUCCCAGUAGCGACUGGGUGCCCCUGCCUAGUGAGCUGGCAAGCUGACAUAAGGUCCAGUUGUUCAUUUAUUUCCUCACGGUUGCGGCGUCUUUCAUUCGGUCAUUUAGCACCCGUUUGCUGAGGGUGUACCGUGAUUGGGCACUGUAGCGAUGACACUCUUGUCAUGCCCUCUCUGUGUAUUAUCCCUGGUCCUGUGCUGGUCUGCUCCCUGGCCCACUAAUCCCGGGAGGCUGGGAGGAAAUUAGCUGAGCAGGGAACCAACGACACCUGAUUGUAAAAGCAAGGGAAGGAACAGAGUGGAACCGUCAGGGCUGAAGUGCGGCUGCAGAAGUGGGAGACUGCUGCUGAGCUGCCCUACCCAGAGGGAUGCUCUGCCUGAAUUCCUGCAGAGCCCCCACCAUCUUCCUGUCCCUUCAUCUUACCUGCUGCCAUCUCCCAUAUGGUUCCUCUAAAAUGCAGACCUGAUUUCUGAGACCCUUGAUUAUGACCUUUGCACACUACAGCCCACGUGCCCCAGCAGUGCCCACCAUGGCACACUCUUCCAUGCUCCAUGGCACCCACCAGGAUUUCUCCCUCACCAUCCCCUUUGUCUGGAAGGUCCUUUAGUCCUGUCCACUGGGCGAGCCCCUGACUGUCCUUCUAAACCCUGCCAUGUCUCCCCAGCUCCUCUGCAAAGGGCCCCUUCCUGCUUCUCCAAAGUGCUGACUUCCUCCUCUGAACCCCUCUGGGCUGAGAACUGUUCAUUUCUGAGCCUAUUUUGCUAGAUUGUGUCUAUAUGUUUGCACUCUUGUUGCCUCUUAUCUGCACACAAUGUCCAACACAUUGUGUGUGCCAAAUAGAUAUGCUUGUUGCAAGAUUCCUUUAUCGGAGCAGACACCCAUGCCCUUCACUUUGCCAUUUCCUGAAGAGCAACACAAGAAUCGAGAACAUGCACAGGUGCUUUCUGUGGGCCAGCUGCUUGCCAGCUGCUGUAUGCAGAUCAUUUCACUAAAGCCUGGCAACGGCCUACAGGGUGGCUGCUGCUGUUACUCCAUUUUGCAGAGGAGGAAACUGAGAUUUGUGGAGGUUUAAUCACAGGCAAGAAGCACAGGAGUAAAAGGAGCAGAGCCGAGCUGCCCCCCGGGGCAGUGUGGAGCCAGAGCCAACCAAGAACGGGAUGUAGCUUGGUUGGUCCCCACGGGUGCAGGUGGAUAUCCAAGUACUGUUGCUUGAUGUGCUUCUCAGGAAUAAUUCAUGGAGGACCUGGGGGGUUGAUGAUGCAUCCAUCAAAUCUGAUACACGGUCCUGAAUUAUCAAUUUGGGCAAAUAUAUGCCCAACUUCCCUCUAAGCUUGUUGAUUCUGCUGUGUGAAAUAGAAUAAUGCUUUAAUUCUUUCAAACUGUAGGAGAAAGAUAAUUAGUGCUGUUUUAUUUCUUCUAUAUGCAAAAGAAAAAGGCAUUUUAAAGAUUCUGAAAAUAACUUGAGAAAGUGCUUUCUUGAACAUAAUUAUCGCAUUGGUGAAAGCACUCAGGUUGAAGAAAUUGCUGCUUUAAAAAUAAUUUUUGUAAAAUAAAAACCAAUUCUCCAUCACAAUAUUUGGCAAGAAUUCCCAAUAAUUUUUAUUGAGUUUUUUGAUGGGGGAGAUAAGGAAAUGCUGUCACAUAAUGAAUCAUUACAGGUAAAGUUGAAACUAUUCAUUUCACUUGGGAAUUGAAGGGGAAAUUUCUAGAAAAAUAUUGUAAAGAUAUUUUCCUAUAUUGAAACAGACUUUUCUAAAAUUCAGAAUUUAUUAUAGCUGUGAUACCAAAAAGCAGCUAUUGAUACUUCAGGAACUUGGAUAUUUUGUGCACGCUUUUGUUAAAAACAAUUAUUUUAGCCUUACUGAUACUUAUGUGUUAGGGUGAUAUGUGAGUAUCAGUGUGGGUGCCCAGUUUGCUUCUUAAAAGGUGUCAGCUAAGCAUUGCUUACAAUCGAAUGGAAUAAAUAUCAGUUGCUGCAGAGAUUCAUUUGUGCUGGUGUCCUUGGUGGUUAAGGACAUAUAUGCGCAACUCUGCUUCCCCAUGAAGGAAAAACAGAAAUAACAUGAAGAAACUUACCAAAAUCUGAAUCUGUGACAAGCUUACAUUAAUUGUAACUAGUUGAAUAUUAUGAGCCUUUAAGAUGUGACUGGUUAAGAGUCAUCAAAAUACCCUGUGAAUCACAAUUUCUUUAACCUUAUCUUUUGCAAAGGGGCUGUGGGUCAUCCUUCAUCAAGCCUUCCCUGGGUUUCAUGUUUGCUUGUGUCUGAGAACUCAGUCCUGGUGGGGGCGGGAGGGCUGCCCUCCCCCUUGCCCCUCCCCCUGUGCAUGUUGGCUGGGGAAAGAAGGCAAGACAGCCAGGGGAAGAGCCCCUAAAUCUCUGGAGAAUACAGGGAGCUGUGCAGUAGGGGCCCAGCCUUCGGAGCCCUGCUGAUGGACUCCCUCUGAUCUCUUUCACAGUGUGAAGCAUCCUAACCAGAGAGAACUCCUACAAGACAGUUUCUCUAAGGGCCAACCCAUAAAGUCACGUAAAGCUUAAAAGACAUUAUCAUAAUCAAAAUGAAAACUAGUCUAAUAAAGAGUGAGCUUGAACUCUACGAAUUGAAUCAAGAUGAUGAUUUUAUUAGUAAUUCUGCUUAAAAGGUGAUUCUGGCAUCUGCCUUUUUAAUAAUGAAAGAAAUGGAGGUCUCUUCUUGGUUAUUCUUGAGGAACAGAGAAAUAGGAAAUCCCAGGAGUCCCUUCUUGCUGCAUCUAAAUAUCAAUAGCAACUAUAAUGUGACUUUGAAACCUGGGGUUUCUAUUAACAACUGUCAAGGCAUUGUAAUACUGCUAGGGUCUACCACAGUCAACCAGAAUUUUAGAAGUGCUGAAUGACUCCUACAAGUGAAAAUCCUGACAUUUUUCCACCCAAGUUUAUACAUCCUUAGGAAUGCACAGGCUCCAGGUGACUCCAGGUAGUGCCUGGUUCUCCAGGUAUCUUGGGAAGACUAUUCAGCUUAUUCUGCAGCUCAUGGCCAGAACCAAUAGGUGUCCCGGUUCUGCCAUGUUGCUCUCUGGUGGGGUUAGGAUAAAACCCUAGUGGAUCUGGAGGCAAAGGCAGCACUUAAUCCCACUCCUGGCCCUGAGCACAUUCACUAUUGGGCAGCCAGCUGCUUUCUGAGCAUAAGGCACCUCCUUCAAGAUAAAUAGGAAAAUUCAAGAUAAAUAGGGAAAGCAUGAGCCCAGUAGCUCCUGGGAAUCAUAAUAUUCAAAGGAAAUGAUGUUGGCAAGUUCUUCAGAGAGAGGAGGUGACCCACAGAUGUCCCUCUUUUAAAGAAGUAGAAUAUUUAUUGAAAUACAUAAAAAAGAAGAGUGUGUGAAAUGAUCCAUGUUGUUAGUAUUUCAUAGUCAUAUUGAUGUUGAGUUGGCUCAACUUUUUUAUGUUUAACACAAUUUUAUAAAUACUUCCAAGAAACACAGGGGAAGCUCCCUUUUCUCCUCUUAGACGCUGCCUUAGAUGGACUGUCCUUACCUUUGCUGGCUCCCCACUCUGCAGCACCAGGAACUGAUUUUUGGUAAGGUCAUGGUGAUGUCUGUGUCCCACUUAUUCACCUUUUUGGCUUUGUUCUAUUAAGAAUACCAUUCUGUUACUAGUAUCUUUUCAUUUAACUCAGCUUUUGCUGAUGUUAAGUUAGAAAAUUACAUGGGAGAAUAUUAUUGUUUAUAACAUUGGAUCUAGGAUCUCUAGAUGCAUGCCAUAUGUUCUCAUAAUCUCACUAACUAUUGUUGAAAUUCUGUCUUGAUCAGCACCCAAGCACAAAAGACACUACAAAAUAUGAUGUCCACUUGAAAACUCUGCUACCGAUUUGUUUUUAAAGUGAAAAACUGGUUGGUAAAUCUAAUUUAAAAUUUUGUACCAAGUUUUGGACUCCAGCAAUUAUCAUAGCUCAUGCAAAAUGAACAUAAAUCAUUUCAGUGUAAUUGAAAGAGAUCUUCACUGUGGUCCAUUACACAUUGCCUUUCCAAUGCUCUUGGGGAAAGGCCUUUCCUGAGUGGAAUUCAAGAUAAACCUAACUGACCUGCAAGAAUUGUUGAAAGAGCUCGUCAGAAACACCUGUGGGUGUUACAGGUGAUAUUCUGGCCAUCAGAGGCUCACCAGUAAUGCAGUGCCAAUGGCUGAUUCACAUUCUCUUAAUUUCUUAGUCAGCUGGGGCUGGGGAGUGGCCCAGGAUCUGGGAGGACUUCCUGCCCUGGGGGUAGACUGAGUAGCCAUCUCUAAGGUUCUUUCCAAAUCCUAAGACUCACAUGGGAAGAAUCAGCAUCCUUACAGGGAGAGGGGCUGGCACACACUUCAUUGAUACUCUGGGAUUCAUCUGCUAUUUUUAUUGUGCUUGUGACCAUAGUCCCACAUUUCAGCAAUAGCGAAACUUCUGCCUCUGCGAACAUUAUAGGCACAAAGCACUCUCCUAUCCCCUGUGGUCUGCAGUCUUCCCUGAAUAUUAUUCUAAGAAGGAAUAUUAUCUUUUACAUGGAAACAGAGUUCAUGGCGAUAUCUACAUCCGUUUGGGGGCUUAGGCUGUGUUGCCAUAACUACCUCUUCGUGUUUGUCAUGUUUUUUAGCAUCAUAGUCAGCCAAUGGAAACAGUUCUACCCAGUGGCUCAGACUGUAUUCUCAAAUUUCUCUUUUUCACUCCUGUAUAAACACAGCAUUUAAUUGUUAUAUAAUCUUUUGAUUGAGACCAUUUUAGUGGCCCUAUUCUAAGAAAAAUCUGGAAGGUCCUUAGUUCUUACAGUGAGGCUCCCACAAGGUCUCCAGUUCUGAGACCAGUAGGAGGUCUCAGGGCCCUGGGAGGCUUCCCAGCUGCACCAGAUGUCUUGCAGAUCAGGUGUCAGGCCUUCUCUGUGCUCAGCCCUGACAGCUCUGUUGGAAGGAGUGAACCCAGCUCACUCUAUGGUAGCUGUCACUCAGAGUUGACAUAGUUAGUGGCCCUGCUGGGAGCCCAUGGGUUCAACAAGCAUAAACAAGAGUGCCUGUAUUUACCUUGUCAGGACUGUCAGAUGGCCCUGCACCAUCUCUGUGGCCAGAAGAUGCUCAGGGACCUCAGAACCGGGUCUUGAUCAGCACCCAAGCACAAAAGACACUGCAACCCAGGACCCAACCCUGACUGUGGGAGGAAGUAUGGGUGGAUGCAGUCAAAUGAUGGCCCCAGUGACACAGGUCUCCAUCAAGAAAGAUCAAGGAUGUGGCAGCCAGUGGCAUCCUGUGACUGAGGUGGGCUGCAGAGGGUGAGAUAGACCCCCAACCUUCAAUGUGCAUUCAACUUUAGAGACUACAAGCAUGUAGGGCUUCUGCAAGUCCAAGAGUGGGAGGCUGAGAGGGGCUGGCAGUCAUGAGGAACAAGCAAGGGCCCUGUUGUCCUGGGCUCCCGAGGGUGUUUGACGGAACAAGGCUCUUCCUUCCCAAGCAGACCCCAGAGCCUGACUCACCUCCUGUCUUCAUAGUGAGGGUUCCCAGAUGUACCUUCCUCCUUCUGUGUUGUCUCCUGUUGACACGUCACCAAGUCCAAGUUGCAAGUUCCCAAGUUUGAGAGCCCUCUAGUUAGAGGGAAGUUGAUCCACCCUACGAGAUGGACAGAUGUGUUUGUCAGAGGACUCAAGAAGUGAUUUAGCUGAACUAGGGCAGAGCAAGCCCACUCAGAAUUGCUGUGGGACCAUCCCUACAGAGUUUUAUGGAAACUUUCCCACUUCACCAUGAAAUUAAGUUGCCCGGCAAGUCGAGGGACAUGGUAAGGUUUCCAUAGCAAGGAAGCAAGUCAGCAUCUCUAACUCUGAAACCGGCUGUGAAAGGCUGGUUUGUGGUUUUGUUUGGUCUGUUUAAAAAAAAAAAAAAUGCAGUGAAGUUAACUGGUCUUCUAAGUCCAGUCCAGUUUGGGGGCCUGAUAAAAGCAGGGAGCAUGUUUCAUCGGUGAUCUUCCCUUCAGCCACAUGUAUUUAAGUCAUUCAUUUCUUCACUGUUGAAUCCUUCCCUUUCCUUUGCAUAUGAUACUUUCUACACUGAUCAUUAGUAAUGUUGUGCCAAUCUUAAUUUUCUUCACCUCCUUUCAGUCUCUUAUUUCACUGUUUCCUGCCAAACUUUUAAAUUACUGUGUCCCAAUAGUUAUAGUUUUCUAAAAAGAAACUAUUUCAGAACAUUCUAGAAUGUUUUACUCCAGGAUUGGGCGAGUAAAUCCUUUGAAAAGUGACCUUUUGCAAACCAUAAAAGCAUGCCAUAUUCUAAGUAUAUAAUACAGCAAUUUUCAGGAAAAUCUGUGGAAAGGGUAUGAGUUUGGGAAACUGCAGUGAAGGGGAGCAUGAGGGCCACUUGAACAGAUGCAAAGGCAGGUAGAGUGAUCUCAGCAUGGGGAGGAACAGCGUGGCAUGUGACACUGCCAUUUGUCCCACUGGUGUGGACUGGGAAGGUGGGGGUUCCUGGCAUGUGGCCCUCCCAGCCCAAUCUGCAUGAACCUCCUCGUUUUCUAAGAUAUCAGAGCCCAGUCAGGUUAAUAGCAUUUGUGCUGUGAUUUUAUAUGUUUCAUUUCAGAGGAAUUUAAGGGUUUUUUUUUUUUAAAAAAAAAUGAAUAUAUAGAAUAGCAUAAUUAAGCAGAAUUGAGAAAAGUGGGCAUCGUGAACAAGUCAUUUGUAAACCAAGAUUUCAGAGAUAUUUAUGGAGCUGUGACAACAUUUAGCACUUUCCUGUUAUUCAAAGUAAAUCCUCUUCCUGAUAUGUUAAGUUCUGCAGUACAGACCAUCAAGCUAUGAAAGCCCUAAGAUCAGAUGUGAGACAGUUCCAAAUUCCAGGUGGCGAGAUGUUAUCUCAGAAAUAGAAGAGAAAUGAGAAACAGCUCCCAGUCGGUUCCAGUGGAACCGCUCAGCGCACGAGCUCUGUUUUCUUCCUUUGUUGGUCUGUUGAAGUUUCCGCAGGGCUUUAUCAGAAGCGGCUGGUUUCCCUGGCAUCGUAGAGGGCUCUUGGACACUGGGGCUGCGUUUCCCAGUUAGAGGAGGCUUGAAUGGCGUGCAGAGGUCAGGCAGCGGCCAAGAGGACUGCUCUGCCCUGCUCUCCCCCUAGAGCUCAGAGCUAGGGGCGUCCUGCCAGCAGGCCGGGAGUCUGCACAGUGUGGCUUCACUGGUGCGUACCCCACACGGCACCUCUUGGGGACCGCCCACAGGACCUUAAAUGCCUUGAUGAUGUGUCCACGCAGUUUCAUUUUGACGCCGGGCACAGCGCACGCAUCUGGGUGUUUUCACCGCCUGCGGUGGCAGGCAUUCAGACUCUGAGGGCAUCCCUCCUGUCCCUGAGACACAGGCAGAACCGUCCUCCCAUGGGGCUCAGAGCCCCGUCACACUUCUAAAAUGCCACUGCCAUCUUAGGUUUUUUAGACUCUUGGUUGAGAGGUAUUCACCUUGAGAUUUCAGAGCCAAGUGAAGUGGCAGGCAUUGAGAAGAUUCUUCAAAAGAAUGUUUUAAUCUCAUCAGAGAAAGCUAGGGGACAAGAAAAAAAAAUGAUUGUCACCAAGUCACUUAUCUCAGGAUGCAAUGGUUCUCCACCGUGGCUUCCCUCCUUGGUGCUAGUGUUGCUCUGUGCCAUGUGCAGGCUCUGGUGAGGCCUGCAGUGUUAUGUCCCCACCCCGUCCUUGCCCUCCCCUGCCUGAGGCUCUGACUGGAACUGGGGAGAUGCAGCUCACCAUGAGGAAGGAGUGAAUGGCUCUUCACCUUCAGUCUCCUCUUCCAGAUACCAGAACAAGAGUCUACCUCUAGUCCCCCUCAGGACCCAGUGGCCUGUCCUGGGAAGCAUUUAACUCAGGACUCGGUGCACAUAAGCAGGUCUCAAGCCCCUUUGAGCAGCCCAGGCCAGGUCUUCCUGUUGCCGCCCACCCAUCUGCAGGCCCCUCUGGUGUCAGGUUUUCCGUGAAGCAUCAGCCCUUCCCUCUGCCUGGCUUCCUGAGUGCUUUGGGCCUUCUGGAGACUUGUGCUUCCUGGAGCAGCUGGGUGCCCACCUGCCGAGCUGGACACUCCCAGGGAAGGCAAGCCAUGUGGCUUCUGGCCUGCCAGAGUACAGGACCUCAGAACAAGCCCAGACCUGGCUCCUAGUGGGCACUCGUCAAAGCUGUAGGGUGAAAUCGAGUCGGUGCCCUUCAGGCGCAGCAAGAUCAUGAAUCACCAGAGGAAGAUUGAGGGUGUUGAGUACUUUGUAAUUGCAGUGCCAGGAGAGUGGACGUUUUUAGCAAUAAAGCAAUGCUCCGUCAAAGGGCGUUUUCUGGUUGACUCUGAGCACAGAAUCCUCUCACUCCUGGCACCCUGUGCAUCCCAUGCCAUCGGAAUUUUCUGUUUUUCUCUGAACAUUGAAUGCAUGGGUCAUGGUGUUUUAGCCAAUGAGAAUUGGCUUUAUGGGUUGUGUUUGUAGCCAUGCACCCUUGAAGCAUUGUCAUAUUGCUGGCCAGAAAACACAGCAGGGGGUGGUUGGGCAGAGGUGGGGCCUGGAGCCCAGGCGGGAAGCCACGGGGCGGCUGAGUGCUCUCGGACUGCUGGUCUACCUACACUUGUUCUUGGCAUUGAUUUCAUUGAGAAGUUCAGAGUCGGGUGUCGUUUUAAAAAUUCUGUGAACACCUUCUGUUUCACUUCUUUGUGGUCUUUCCUGAUUGGAGAUGGCUUAUGCUGUGUGGGAACUCAUCCUCUCCUCUCCCAGUUUCUGUCCUCUCCCCCCUUCCCUUCUUCCAUUCAGCUGUGGCCUCUAUGGUUGGAGCCUCCGUUAGCCGGUGUUGUUAUUGGAGUGCUGCUGAAGACAUUAGGGGCUGGAGACAUUGGACAACAUGCACAUGACCAUAGCCCAGGUGGCUGAAGAGCUGAAAAGGUUCACUCACGCUCUGGAGGCUGGAGUGUGGCCAGAUGUCCUUGCCAAAUUAGAUGUAAGAUGCUUUCUGAAAGCCCUCAAUUCCACUUUUUAUGGGACGGAUCUGCAGAAAAGCCGGCAAGUCAAAAAAGUCCUUCAGUCGCAAGGAGGCCGAAGCCACCUUUAAGAGCUUGGUGAAGACUCACGAAAAAUACGGCUGGGUCACCCCACCCGUGUCUGACGGCUGACCGCCUGCCCGUGUCCACUCGCACCGACUCCCUGACCUCUCCUCCCCACGCUGCACACCCUCCACCCUUUUCUACUCCAGCCAGAACUGCACCCUGAAUGCCAAGGAGACGUUGAAGUUAUUUAUGAACAAGUGUAUUCACAGAGAGAAGGGGUUAGGUUUCCAUGAUAAAUGAAUGAUCAUCUCUAAGCGCUUUAGAACCCAUGUUGAGAUGGUGACGUUCCCCAGCCCGCCCAUCCCCGCCCUCCCGGCACCUGGCCCUUAGCUUCUUCCCAUGCCAGCAGCUCCAGCAGGCAGGUGGGAGCCUCAGUGCUCGCCAGCUCCAGCCCCAUGUAAACGGCGCAUUCCUGUUUCCUAGGAGCACCUCGCACUGCGGCCGGCCGGCCCCUGUUUGCUGUGCCCUGUGUCUGUGUCUCUCUUCCUGGCAGGUCAACACAACCUGAAGACAUGUCUUUCUUUCUGUGGCCUCUGGUCUGCUGUGACAUCAUUUAGACCUCAUCCAUGCUCUGACCUUCGGCUCAUGAAAACAAUUUAACAUUGCCAGGUUCUAGUGAUUAAAACCGCCCACUUGGUUACUUGUGCUCUCUAUGCUGAUUGUGUGGUGUGCUGCUGUUCCAGAUAAACCAGUGCCAUUCCAUGAGAGACAGGGACGCUGCAAACGCACUCCAGGUGCACCCCCUGGGGCUCAGAGCAGUGACAGAGACAGCGGUGUUGGCAGAGACGAGGAGACACUCCCACCCGCGGCAGCAGCAUGUUCGUGCUCCUGCCACCAGAGCAAAGACAGUCUCCCACUCAUGCAGUCAUCUGACUCGGUGGACUGUGUGCUAGUGACGGGGAGACCACGGGAUCGCACCUGACUUGCAUGGCCGGGUCUGUUUCCUCCCCAAGUAGUCACAUGUGUGUCCCCCACGGUUGAGACGCGGGCACCUCGUGUGGUGUAAACCUCCUGUUAUUUAAUCUCCCGUCGUUCCAUUUUUCUCUUCUGUUAAGUUACUUAGAACUUUCUAAGAAACUCCAUGAAAUGAGGAAAUACUGUUUAUAAUAACUUGCGGAAAGAGGUAAAAAAAUGUUCAUUCCAAGUGGAAAAUCUGAUUGGACACAUUUUAAAUAAAAUCAUGCAUACCUGACACACUGACUCAAGAAUCCAAUCAUUGUGAGCUAGGCUUCCAUUUAAAAUAUUUCAUCUGCUUUGUCAAAUGUGAAUAUUCCAAAGACUGCAAACACCAAAACUUGUACUUCAGGAGCCACAGCUCACAGCCAGGAAAUGCAGUCUUAGGAACCCACAGUCUUUGCAAAAAUCUAACAGGUGGAAACAGUCCCAAGGGGCAGCCAGGGAGAUGAGGAGAAUCUAAAGUGAAAGCACCAGGGACGUCUGGGUCAGACCCAAACCUCCCGCAGGGAAGGAAGAGCCCACUUCUGGACGGUUGGGAACGACUCUUCAGGCAGUUUUGACUCUCGGGUCGCUGUUCUCUUUGUUCAAGGGUUUUGGAGACCAGAGAGGCUUCGCCUCAAACCGCAGAGUGACCGGGGAUCAACCAAAUCUGUCCUUUAUUGUUGUUAUUUCCUUACCCUUCCUUAUUUGCCCCGAAUACACAAAUGCAGCUGCCAGGCUACAAUGACCCACUUGAGAAGGCCUGACCUCCAGCUCACGUUCCCUGAGAGCGGCCGUGGUCAGGAAACUCGAUGACAGUGCCUUGCAGCCUGACCUCUCUGAUCCCCAACGUGGAAUUCUCCAAGCUGGAACCAGUGAGGGGCUGAUGGUCUUUGGCCCCUGGGACUGCUGGUUGGGAUGGAAUUACUCCAUGGGCAUUGAAGACCUAGGGCAGAGACCUCUUCUCAGCUCAGGAAAGCACUUGAGUUUAGCAAUUUCCAGGUAAUGUGAAAUUGAAAGCAACUUCCUUUUUUUUUUUUUUUUUUGGAAAAAAAUAUUUAUCCAAGGCUGGAUCAAUUUAUUUUUUAUCAGCUGAUUGGAAAAUGUGUCCGCCAUUGUGUCCAGGUAAGCAGGACAGAAAGGUGCUGCCAGGGGACGUGCCACCACCCCCGUGGGCUCCAUUACUGCCCACAGCGAGGCAGGGAGACGUGCAGCUCAAUCUCAGCCGUUCAGUGCACCUGGAAUUUGGGUUACUUUGCUCAGCCUUUCCAUUAUGUUUGCUGGAAACCUACAGAAGAAAUCAAUUCUUCGGUGAAAGAAAAGCAAUUUUUCAUUUAAAUAGAAAGAAUUCCAAAAUUUCAAAGCAGUGACAACGUAAAACAUGCCUGUUGCUGUGAGUCCCUAUCUGGCAUCCUGCAUCAUGGACACUAGGGGACCCUGUGUCCACUGCACUCUGGUCCUAUCGUAUCUUGGCUAUUCACACCUUGGCCAGGAGCCUCACUCUUCCCCUCUGCAGGAGAUGCCCACCUGUGGACCCAGUGGGAGAGGAGACUCAUGCCCUGUGUCCUGGGGUUAUGUUCCCACAAAGCCAAAAAAUGGGGUCCCUCUUCAGACAGGCGGCAAGGUGAUCACUGGAAGGAGACGUUCACAUCUCACAUUCUCCAUUAAUCAACUGGAACGCAAAUCAAGCCAGAGGCUGCAGAUCCAAAGGAAGAGAAAAAUACCAACUCCGAUGCUUCCCCAGCUCCCAAACCUCUGCCCCUCCCACAGCCCCCCCCCCAGCCUGGUUCCUGGGCGUGUUCUCCAAGGCCAUCCAAGGCCGAGGGGAGGCUCUGAGGAACUUACCAGAGGGCCUGUUACCCUUCCCUCACAUGACCCAGUGCUGCAGGAGGGACACAGUCUCCCUCAUCCAUUACUCACAUACACCAGGCUUCAGGCCUCAGUUUCAGCUCCCAAGUUCAUCCCAUCUAUCAAAAUUCAACUUUAUUUUUUGAGAGAUCAACCUACAGACCAGGGGAAAACACCUGGGAUUGAGAGGCUGAAGCCCAAGUCGGCCCCGAGGUUCUGGCAGGUCACAUCACCCACCUGCACCUGGCUUCCUCCGCUAUAAACUCCACGAGACCCACUCAAAUGAUGGGGGCGAAGUGCUCGUGAAACCAAAGACUGCUGUAUGAGUUGAACACCCUAUUUUCACGGUACCGGGAAAUUUAUAUCACAAUAACAGGCUUUAAUUAGAACACACUUGGAGACCUGGCUCAGAAUGAAUAAUUAUAGAGGUUAAAAUGCAAUUAUCAUGUAAUUACAUUCUUGCUUUUCAUCCCCAGACCUCUACAUUCUCACUCAGCCACUGGCUCUCCACCCAGUCCGCUUCCCUCCUAGAGAUGGGCCAUCAGAGGGGUUAAGGCACAUCUCAGGACACACAGGAAACGGCAGCCAGGGAGACACGUGCACAGCUGCCCUGCAGAAACCGCAGGCCGAGACUUCCUGACUCCUCAGCAGGAAGAUGUGGUGGAAGAGUCGGGGUGAGCCACAGCUGGGCAAAGGGAAGGAGAGGGCGGCUGCAGAAAUGGGACCGGCUGGGGUUUCCCUAGAGAGCCCUGAAGGGCAGAGAUGGCGGUCACUGGCUCUCUGUGCAGGGCCUGCAUGUCAUCAUUUUAUCAAGACCCCUGAACAGCAGGUUUGAAUGGAACCUUCUUCCUGGGGAAAGAAGACCGUGUCUUGGCCACAGGGAAGGUAGAGUCACUGCAUCUGGGAGGCCCCUUGGCCACACUUCAUGCACUCUAUAGUGAAGGGAACAAUCCCAGAGAGGGGCGAGGGGCGAGGUCACCAACUUGCUGUGGCCAGUCCUUCAUGAUGCACCUCCUGAGGUCAUUAGGCCGUUCCUGUGGCCCACACUCCAGCACACACCUUCCUCCCACCUUCGGGUCAGCACGGCCACAGGCAUUCCAGACUGUCCGGGGAACACUGAGGUGACCCUUUCUGAACCGAAAGCCAGGAGGUGCACAGGCAGGGACCUGACCGCAACGGCCCUGGGAGCUGCAGGGGGGCGCUCUGAGCUCAGCCUGCAUGACCCCCGCCAAGUCAAAGACAUUAAAAUGGUCCAUGGCUCUGCUUCUCAGUUGUUGGCCUUAUUUUUCCAGUUUUUGCAGCCUCCAGUUCACACGUGUUGGCGUCUCUCAUCCCCAGGGCCCAGCUGGCCCGGAGAACAUGGCCAGUGAACUGGAAAGGCCAAACAACAGUGAGUGUUGACAUUCGGGAAGGCAAUAAGUGAUCUUAGCUGGGUACCAGAAGAAACGGGAGCAAACUGUGCCGGCCAGAUAAUUGUCAUCAAAACAGAGCACUUGAAGAGAGCGUCAGUGCAGAUAGAAGCUGGAUUCCAUCCCGAGGUUGUAGCGGAGCUAGACAAGCAGCAAGGGCUGGAAGGGUCUGGGGCAGGCCAUCCUCCUGGGCCCGGGGGCCGUACGGAGAUCGGUGUGGUUUCCCGCUGCCGACUCACCCUGUUUCUCUCGCAGAGUUGAACUAUGCCACUUGUCGACACAUAGGCAUUCUGUACCUCGAGGUCUUGGGCCAUCGCUGGUCAUGACAUUAAUGGAGCUGAGAUAGAAACUGCCCUAAGCCGAUGGGCUGGGUCUCCCUCCCGCCUGCCUUCUCCAUGAAUGUGAUUCUAUGUCAUGAACGUUGUUGACACCCUAUCAAUGGUAGGAUGCUAACUGAAUAUCAUGUCCACUUUCAGGCCGUCGGCGCGAUUCACAGUGAGACUGCCGAGGGUCCUCUUUCUAGAGUUAUCCUAUCCUGUAAUCCUCAGAAGGAAGGAAAUCAAAAUGCAUGUGCCAUAAAAUAAAAUAAAAUGUUUAGCAUUGAUCUUAGUUUGGUUCCAGAAGAAUGGUGAGUGCAUGAGUCAAACCAUCUAGAGGCACGGCCCCAAUUGGAAAAACGAUUUGGAAAGCAAGCCUUGAAACCCAAUAAAUGUCUUUCUGUGGAA